AAAAUAGCUUUGAUAGGAUUAGCCUUUAGUAGAUUUUCCAAUCCAGAUUUGAAAUCUAAGCUAAUGAUAUCCAAUUGCAAACCAUAGCUAGAGGCUGUAUCAUAGGUAAAAGAAUUGAUUUCGGGGAAAGCAGAAUUGCUUUCAAAAUAUAUUGUGUGAAUCGGAAAACUAGUUAGACCCCUAUCAGAACAGCUGUGUCUCUCUUUAUGCCAAAAAUAGCCGGCCCUAAGCAAGUGCAACAAAACCGUUGAAUCCU
rnacentral:misc_RNA from 1 species